AUUGAACGCUGGCGGCAGGCCUAACACAUGCAAGUCGAGCGGAUGAAGGGAGCUUGCUCCUGGAUUCAGCGGCGGACGGGUGAGUAAUGCCUAGGAAUCUGCCUGGUAGUGGGGGAUCACGUCCGGCUACGGGCGCUAAUACCGCAUACGUCCUGAGGGAGAAAGUGGGGGAUCUUCGGACCUCACGCUAUCAGAUGAGACUGGGUCGGAUUAGCUAGUUGGUGGGGUAAAGGCCUACCAAGGCGACGAUGCAUAACUGGUCUGAGAGGGUGAUCGGUCACAGUGGGACUGAGACACGGGCCAGAGUACUACGGGAGGCAGCAGGAGGGAAGUUUACGAAAAGGUAGAAAGCUUGACGGAGCAAUGGCGCGUGAGUGAAGAAGGAUUUCUGUUAGUACAGUUUUGUUGUGAGGGAAGAAGGAUUGUGUAGUAACUAUACACAGUAGAGACGGUAAAUAAACAGAAAGCCACGGCUAACUACGUG
rnacentral:rRNA from 1 species